GACUGAAGAAUUCUGAGAUGCAGAGAGAUCUGGGUGCUGUCAUGCAAGAGUCACAACAAGACAAGAACCAAAUACAGCAGGUAAGUUUAAAAAAAAAAGCACGUCAGUCUUUAUCAUGACAGAAAUUGAAUACAAAAAUAAGAACAUUAUGCUUCUGUUAUCCAGGACAUCGGUGAGACAACAUCUCAAACACAGUUUUGGUCUGCCUACUUAAGGAUGUAAAUGUACUCAGAAGUAGUCACUAGACCAAUAUCUGGAAAUAAGCUGAUAAGUGACUGAAGUUCAUACUGGAUUGGCUGUCCAUUCUGAUCCAUCAGCUGGAACGGUGCAGUAGACAGAGUUGGUGCUUGUUGGGACACCUGUACUGUCGGAUUCUGAGAAGUAGCAGAGUCAUCGGCUUUUGACAGAGGAGGAAGCCUACUGCGAAUGACACAAGGAGUUGUUAAUGUUGAAGAAAUGUAACACAGACAUAAAUGAAAACGUGAUAAAUGCAGACCUCACCAGAUUGAGCUGAAGCUACAUGGUGCUUGAAAGGACUGAAUGAGGUUGGCUGAAAAUCAUUUGUUGAUGUUUGUGUUAUCAAGAAAUACCUGAAGGCAUUUUCAUGUGUCCUGUACUUUUGUAUUUUCUUACCACUUACUUACAUUAAAAUCCAUUCACUGUUCGUUAGCCAAUCCACUUAAUUGUCCAAUUCCCUGACAAUGUCUUGAAUCUUCUCUGUACCGGUUA